rnacentral:misc_RNA from 1 species
CAGAGAAUGUGCCCUCUAGGGUAGAUCUCCAACCCUUUGUUUACAAUAUACCUUUAUUGCUUUGGUGGGCCUGUCUCCAAGACUGCUGGCUUACGCUGGCUAGUGCCUGCCAGAGGACUUAAAACUCUUAAUUUAUUGUCAGAGUAUCUUAAAAUGAUUA